rnacentral:tRNA from 1 species
GCUACUGUGGUGGAAUUGGCAGACACCAGGGACUUAAAAUCCCUUGCUGGAAACAGCGUACCGGUUCAAGUCCGGUCAGUAGCA